GGGCACGUGGCGAAAUGGCAGACGCGCUGGAUUUAGGUUCCAGUGGAGCAAUCCAUGUAGGUUCGAGUCCUAUCGUGCCCA
rnacentral:tRNA from 1 species